rnacentral:lncRNA from 1 species
UCCUCCUCCUCCUCCCCACCAACGCCAACAUUUCAACCUAAAAUAUACAUAUAUGUUUUUAUCUGUGUUCUAUAUAUGAAACACUAUUACCUUCCUUUUUUCUUCUCCCCCUAGAAAAUCAGGGAUUUCAGCCCCUGCAAACGUCGCCCCCAAGAUUCAAGUUUUAAAAGCAGAACCAGAGAGAACCAUCACACAUUAGAUCAGAUUUUCUUCAUAUUAUAAUCCUCUAACUUUUUCCUUUUUCUUUGAGAGACCAACCUGGUAAAGCCAAUCUAUAUGCCAAAAAGAAACAAACGGAAAUGAGUCCUUUUACAUAGUUACAUGCAUGAAUGAAAAAAAUGAAAAGACACCAACACACACACACACAUAUAUCUGCAAAAAGGUAUGAACUUUAAAUUUAUCUCUCUUCUUUUUUUCCUCAAAACCCUAGAAAGCUAAGCUGAGACAAAUCAGAAAAACUUCAGGUAUGAAUGGCAUGGAUGAAGAGUUGUAAUGCUGGAUGAAAUUAUGGGGAUUGAAGAACACAUUGAAUUGAAUGAUAGGUACCUUUUCAUUUCAUUGCAUUUGCAUUACCGAUCAAUUAUAUCGCAAUUCUUUUUCUUCUUUCUUUAAACUGAUGAACAC